rnacentral:rRNA from 1 species
CAGUAGCCGCGGGAAUACGGAGGGUGCAAGCGUUAAUCGGAAUUACUGGGCGUAAAGCGCACGCAGGCGGUCUGACAAGUCAGAUGUGAAAUCCCGGGGCUUAACCUGGGAACUGCAUUUGAAACUGUCAGGCUGGAGUCUUGUAGAGGGGGGUAGAAUUCCAGGUGUAGCGGUGAAAUGCGUAGAGAUCUGGAGGAAUACCGGUGGCGAAGGCGGCCCCCUGGACAAAGACUGACGCUCAGGUGCGAAAGCGUGGGGAGCAAACAGGAUUAGAUACCCCUGUAGUCCCUGUCUCUUAUAC